rnacentral:rRNA from 1 species
ACGGGAGGCAGCAGCUAAGAAUAUUCCGCAAUGGACGAAAGUCUGACGGAGCGACGCCGCGUGGAUGAUGAAGGCCGGAAGGUUGUAAAAUCCUUUUAUAACUGAGGAAUAAGUAUUCUGAGGGAAACGGAGUAUGGUGACUGUAGGUUAUGAAUAAGCAACGGCUAAUUACGUGCCAGCAGCCGCGGUAACACGUAAGUUGCGAGCGUUGUUCGGAAUCAUUGGGCGUAAAGGGCAUGUAGGCGGUCUGUCAAGCCAGGCGUGAAAGCCAGGGGCUCAACCCCUGAACUGCGCUUGGAACUGGCGGACUGGAGUCGCUGAGGGGGAACCGGAAUUCCUGGUGUAGGGGUGAAAUCUGUAGAUAUCUGGAAGAAUACCAAUGGCGAAGGCAGGUUGCCAGCAGAUGACUGACGCUGAGGUGCGAAGGUGCGGGGAGCAAACAGGAUUAGAUACCCUGGUA